rnacentral:rRNA from 1 species
CCUACGGGAGGCAGCAGUCGAGAAUCAUUCACAAUGGGGGAAACCCUGAUGGUGCGACGCCGCGUGGGGGAAUGAAGGUCUUCGGAUUGUAAACCCCUGUCAUGUGGGAGCAAAUUAAAAAGAUAGUACCACAAGAGGAAGAGCCGGCUAACUCUGUGCCAGCAGCCGCGGUAAUACAGAGGUCUCAAGCGUUGUUCGGAAUCACUGGGCGUAAAGCGUGCGUAGGCUGUUUCGUCAGUAGUGUGUGAAAGGCGCGGGCUCAACCCGCGGACGGCACAUGAUACUGCUGGACUAGGGUAAUGGAGGGGGAGCCGGAUUUCUGGGUGUAGCAGUAAA